rnacentral:rRNA from 1 species
GACGAACGCUGGCGGCGUGCUUAACACAUGCAAGUCGAGCGGUAAGGCCCUUCGGGGUACACGAGCGGCGAACGGGUGAGUAACACGUGGGUGACCUGCCUCUAGCUCUGGGAUAAGCCUGGGAAACUGGGUCUAAUACCGGAUAUGACUCCACGGCGCAUGUUGUGGGGUGGAAAGCCUUGUGUGGCUAGAGAUGGGCCCGCGGCCUAUCAGCUUGUUGGUGGGGUGAUGGCCUACCAAGGCGACGACGGGUAG